AAGCCUACUCAUUGGUGGAAUAUGAUGCAUAUAAUUAAAUGUUGCAUUUUCGAGUAAUUAAUUAUCGUGAUUUCAAAGGAUUGGGAGGUGAAGGGUUUGGUGUUGAAAGGAGAUUUGAGGAAGAAGAAAUGAUCAAUAUUGAAGAGGAAAAUAAGUAACAUAUAAAAUUAAAGAGCACAUUGAUUAUAGGUCAUUGAAUAGAGAGAAGGGGAGGGGAAGAGCCAAGAGCAAAUGUGAGUUCAAAAAAAGGGCUAGUGAGGUUGAAAGAAAAUUUGCCACGUGGCAAAAACAAUGGGAAUUCAUAUAGGUUAAUAGAUGAUAGGCGAGAGUGGAGUU
rnacentral:lncRNA from 1 species